AAUCAACGCUGGCGGCGUGCCUAACACAUGCAAGUCGAACGCGAAAGUGGAGCAAUCCAUGAGUAGAGUGGCAAACGGGUGAGUAACGCGUGGGUGACCUGCCUUCGAGUGGGGGAUAACGCUCCGAAAGGGACGCUAAUACCGCAUAACAUCCUGCCUUUUAAGAGGUGGAAAUCAAAGCCUGGGACCGCAAGGCCAGGCGCUUGAAGAGGGGCCCGCGUCUGAUUAGCUAGUUGGUGGGGUAAUGGCUCACCAAGGCUUCGAUCAGUA
rnacentral:rRNA from 1 species